ACAUUUUUUUUUUUACUUAAUCAUUUAUUUAAGGCUCAUGCGCCAACAGGCAUAACGGAGCCGAAUCCAGUUAAAACUAUUUACAAUUUCAUGUUUUUGUCUUAUAAACUAUGUUAGUUUUGGGAAACCGAAAAACUCGCGGUUUGGUCGAGGUUAGGGGGAACAAAAAUAUUUGAGGAAAGGAUAGGGUGAUGGGGCUUUUCAUUGACACGUGGCAGCUUGGUGUGGCGUGUUGCUGCUGGUCGAACGUAGAGUGGACAUACAACCUGUAACGAUACAUACAGACGAUUUUCGAAGGGACACGAGGUGGACAAGUGGAACAACAAGACGGGGAUAUCAGACGAAGACUUCAGCUUGCUUCAAGAAGUCGUACACAAGCUUCAUAUACUCAAGAUCAAGUUUACCCAACACAUCUCUAAUGUCUUCCUUUUCUGGUUUCCCUCGGGCCCUGAGGGAUGCACAUAAAUCGGAUCUGGCAAUACCGUAUUCGGGGCAUUCCCACACAACAUGGUUGAUAUCUUGAUAGCCUGCACCACAGCUACAACGAUUGCUAUCUGUGAGCCCUAUUCGAUAGAAAUGCGAGCCCAGAGAGUAGUGAUUGGACAUAAGUCGACACAUUAUCUUGAUAAAAUCUCGACCCAUAUCCAACCCCUUGAACCACGCCGUCUUCGAUACCUGUGGGAGAAUUGAGUGUAACCACCUGCCCAACUCUCCUGCAUCCCAUUUUUGUUGCCAACUAACCAAGGCAUGCUGACGAGCAAUCGAAAAAAAUUCAUUGAAAGCGAUAUGACGGUCAUAAAUAUCGCCUUCCAUAGCGCCCACUUUGGCGAGUGAGUCCGCUUUCUCAUUGCCCGGGAUCGAGCAAUGUGAAGGGACCCAAACCAAAGUGAUGUUAUAUGCUUGAUGCGAUAAAGCACUCAGAAUUGAUCGAAUUUCGCUCAGGAAAUACGGGGAGUGCUUCACCGGCCUCAUUGAGCGAAUAGCCUCAAUUGAGCUGAGACUAUCCGUAAAAAUGAAAUAUUGAUCAGAGGGAAGAGAGGCAAUUCGCUCUAAUGCGUAGUGUAUAGCCGCCAAUUCUGCGAUGUAUACUGAGCAAGGACUUUGAAGUUUAUGGGCGGCGCUAUGAAGCUCAUUAAAUACACCAAAUCCAGUGGAAUCAUUUGUUUUUGACCCGUCAGUGAAAAACCUUCUGUCGCAACUGACUUGGCCAAACUUGUUUGCAAAAAUUUUUGGGAUGUGCUCCGAUCGGAGCGGAUCUGGAAUUCCACGGAUUUCUUGCAACAUGGACAGAUCAAAAACUAUAGUGGAAUUGGAGAAGUCUGGGAAGCAAUCACGGUUGAGAACAUUCGAAGAAGGAUGAACCUCCAGAGUCAUGUACGAGUAGUACACUGUCAUAAAC